CCUCAGCAUCUCUCUCACCAGGAGAUGUGUUCUAAUUAGAGUGCGUGUCUCAUGUCUCACUGAGGAGAAUAACAAGCCUCAUCCCAAGGCUGCCUCCAGAUGAACCUCACAUCCACAGCAAACCAAAACACAUCUGAUGUAUCAGCAACCCAUGGACUCCGGACCACACCUGAGUCGACAUGCGGCGCAUUAGGAUUUUGAUGGGGGUUUACAUCAUGUGGCAGCGCUCUCUAAGCAGGAGGCCUUGCAAAGCUGGAGCAACAAUGAAAGAAGCCAGUCUGAAAGGAGGGACAAACUGAACCCGAAUGAUGUUCUGGGGGCUGUGAUUAUAGGAUUCAAGAAGCAAAGAUGAUCCUGCCUAAGCCUGCUCCAAUGUGUGAUUUGAAAAGGAAGUUCUGUUUGAAAUUCUUCCCAAAUAUGAAAAUCAAAGAGGACAGACAUUCACUCACCAGUCCUCUGGAAAAUUGGAACUUUCAGAAACUUCGUGUAAGACAAAUAUCUGCAGCCAAAAUACCUGCAAAUCUUUCAGCUGAGCGGUAAUUCAAACCUCAUCUUUGACAGAGCGUGUGUGCAGAUGUUUGUGCCCGUAUUUUUUUUGAGCAGAGAUGGCUUAUGAAAUAUCAAAGUGUGUUAUUUGCUGCAUGAAACUCCACAACAUCAAAGACUUUCCUCCUCUCCCACAAGAACCCAAGAAUAUUUGAGUUUUUUUACCCGUGCAAACCUCGCCUGUCUUCCGUCUCAGCAUUUCUCAAAAGGCAAAAGCCUCUAAUGAAACAAGAUACUAGAUGGAGAGACUGCUGCCAACAAAAUGGGGAGAAAAAAAAAAACAUUUUGGGUGAUGAUUGACAUCCCUGCAUCUUUUUAUUAUUCCUGUGAUGUUCGUCCAGACACACUGAUGCCAGAAACUGUGGCCUCACACUUUGGCUGAUGCAGCAAUCUGGUGAUAUGCGUCUCACUGCCUGCCAACCACCUGGCUGGAAGAAACAUAAUCAACCUCUCAGUCAAUCACUCCUCGCACAGCCAAUGGUGUAGGAUGAGUGUCAGAGGAAGCGAGGCAGACAUGCGCCGGCUGUGUGUCCAACUUUGACACUUCACACCUUGCUCUCUAGCAUCCUGAUGAGUCCUCUGUAUAUGCAGGGCCAUGGGAUCCCAGCUACACACUACUGUGCAUUGUGGAGGAGAAACGCAGCGUGUGGGAGGAAUAUAGCUGCUGCGUCUCAGACAUUUUACAGGUUAACGUUUUAAGUAGAUCCUCUGCCGUCUUAAGCAGUAGCACUUGGUUGCCUAAAAUGUCAGUGCAUUAAUUAAUCAAGGCAUUUUCAGGAAAAUUACACUUAAGUUAAAAUCAUCUUGAGGAUGUGGAGGGAUGAUGGAGAAUCCUGUAUGAUGGUUCUAUUGCAUUAAAAAAAGGCUUUUGUGAUCACAAAUGACUCCUGAAAGGUACUUUGAGGACUAAUCCUGGCAGUUAAUGGUAGUUGCCUCUGGUCCACAAACAACAGCACAGUCUCCUGGGUGUUGAAGUUGUUUUCAAGGCACCACUCACUGCUCUGGGUUAUGUAAUUUAGCUGUGAAUUUCCCACAUGACAUGUCAUGUAUAUUGCAUUGCCUUAAAAGCAGUUCUCUCUCCGCCUGCACUCAAGGCAGGCUAGAUUUUUCAUCUCCAAUUAAAAGGGAGCUAAAGUACUGCAUCACUGGACUCAAGAGAAGAGAAAUAAUUGACAUGCUUGCUCCUGAAACAUGUGAAUAAUUGAAUUUGUUUUUCAUUUGGAGGAGGGCGAAAAAAAGAUUCACAUGGAGAAUAUAUUUACAGUAGCUAUGAGUAGGUUGUUGCUUGGUGUGAUGCUAAACUCCUCUGUAGAUGAUGAAUUGAAUUGGGAUGAGUUGGCCAUAUUGAGAGAAAUGUGGUCAUUGAGUGCAGAGCAGUUUUCUACACUGAGAGUGACCAACAAGAAGUAAAUGAAAAAGAAUGAAAGAGAUCCCAACGGGAAGCUAUUUUUGAUAGGGGACAUUUUGUUGGUUGCUUGAAGGAUUUAAGUGGUCAGGGAGACUCAUACUCUCAAAGGUAACGAGAAAUAGCAUCUGGACUGCAAUCAGCGGAACUGCUGAAGAAGACAAAAAUUUUUGUGAUUAAAAAAUCUUUUGUGAUUAAAAAAUCAAACAAACCCCCCCCCACACAUAACUAGAA